AAGAGCCUGAGCUUCCAGUUGCCAGCCACUUCAAGACACCACCUUAUUCCCUGGUCAAUAUUGCAGUGGCCUUUGGGGGAACCAACCCUGAAAUAUAUAUCUAUAUCCUACCCCUAAUGUACAGUCAAGGCCAUGAAGGAACCAGCAAGUCAUGCCACCUGACUGAGAGUACUUCACCAGUAGCAGUAAAGUAACAUCAUACGCAGAAUCAAAAUUUCUCCAACUCUCUUCACCUGUAUUUGUCUUGAGGAUACUUCUUCAAUAUGUUCUCUGCCUUGCAGUUUUAUGAAUGAUUGAAUCAUUGAAUGAAAUGAUUACCUCAAAGACAGUUUAUGAACAUCUUUUUCAACUUGACCUCUUCAAAAAGCCAGUGAGGAUUGCACAGCAUGGAAAUGACUGACAGCUGGAACCAGGGUAUGUUAAUGUGAACAUUUAUAUUCUUGGAAUGGGAAAACUCAGAGGCUGCAGUGACUCCAGUUCAAAACGGAUGCCUUGGCUAUGAACUAAUUGCUGCGAUGAAAGACACUAUAUAAAUAAUUUCCUCGCUAUUGGAUAGUCUUGUAUUCAGAAGCUAAGAUCACAAUAACUUACUGCACUAAAAGAAUCUCAUCUCCCCUCUGGUUCUUCUGCCAUGGCUUCUGGUGGGCAAUUGACUCUCACAGAACCACACUGUUUUGGACUUCAUCGUAACUUUGAUCCAGAUAUGGAUACAAGAACUGAAUGCCAGAAGCAAAGUACAG